rnacentral:lncRNA from 1 species
GACAACAAGUAGUGAACUAAUUUCGUAUGAACUGAUCUUCUUGAAGUUCAUCAGAUCUUCAUCAAGAACGCUCCGAUUUCAUCACGUUGAUUAGAUUUCGAGUGUGUAGUGUGUAGAUCGAGUCGAAACUCUGUCCGGUUGUCGUCGUUACGUAAUAAAAUGUUGUUUAAUUACGUUUUCGCACACAAUUACGGUUCGAUUUAACGGUUUCCGUACGUUAAAUCGAAUCCACCGCAGAUCUACUGAUCGUUUACGAUCCGAUCCUGUACUCACAAGUGGUAUCAGAGCUAUGGAUGCUCUGCGUGUAAUCGUUGAUCGAAUCGGACGAGUUUCGGUUUGUUUCGAUGUGAUUUUGGACUAUUUCAUUCAUGUUUCGUAGUGAUUCAGCAUAUUGUUUGAUCUUGUAUGAUAUUUUUUUCAUUGAUUUCGAACAGUUUCUGUUUGAUAUAACAGAUAAACACAGCUAAUAAUUGGUGAAAACAAAGAUUUUACAAGAGAAACUGAUCUUAAAAAGAUAAAAAUAGUAGAGUUUGUUACAUGUGUUGAUUAAAUUUUCACAGAUCUGAAAGACGUAUCGCUGUUUCACAUGAUAAUUCCUGUGUCAUCUUUAUGAUCUUUAUAAUCUUCAAAUGUUCGAAUCUGAAGUUACUUGUGCAUGAUUAGAUCUGAGUUGAGUUGCAGGUCAUUAUUGUUGUUGGAACGAGAAAUAGAUUUGAGUUGAAUUUUGAUAAUCAUCAAAAAACACGUUAAAACAAUCUGAAUCACAGAUCUAAAUCGGAACAUAUGUGUUGUUUAAAACGAUCUGAAUGUGAAAUUGAAUCUGAUUUGGUUGAUUUUCAAUCAGUUUCGGCAUGUUUGAUUUUUGAUUGAUUUCAAACUGAUCUGGUUGAUUUCAUUGUGAUUACUGUUUGAUUCGGAUCAUUUUGAAGUCAUACAAAUUGUUUUGAUUGAUUUUCGAUGUGAUUUGGUUGAAACCUUGAACAGUUUGAUUGAUUUAGAAUUGAUUACAUUGAUUUGAGAUCACUGUUCAAACACAUAAUACGCAUCACUGUUUUAACACAUCAUAUGCUAUUGAACUGUUCUGAUUGUUGUUGAAGAAAAGAGUAAUUCUGAUUGUUGUUUAUGAUUGUGUGAUUGAAGCAUCUAUCAAAGCUGUAUUUGAUCUUAUCUUUCGAAUCAUUUUGGUGUACUUGAUUGUUGAAUGUGAUUUCGAUAAAUUCCGGAUUAUUUCGGAUCAACUUUGAACAGUUUGUUGGUUUUAGAUCAUUUUCGAACUGAUUUCGCACUAUUUCGAUCAAGUUUCGGUGUAUCGUACGUGUAUAUCGGACUGAUUAGAUGAUGUUUGGUUAAAGUUUCUACAGUUUCGGAUUGAUUCGAUUAAGUUCCAAACUGAAUUGGAUCAAUUUAAGACUGUUUUGAUUGAUGAAUUUCAAUCGGUUGUCAAUGCUGAUUUGGUGAUUUGAUUACGUAUAUCAUCUGCAUUCUUGAUUCAUUACAUUUCAUUACAUCUGGUCUUGAUCGAAUUAUUGUUUCUGAUUGUUCUUUGUGUUGUGAUUGAAGAAGAUUGGUUGUGACGAUGAGUCGGUUUAUUAUCCAGGUCAUUAGCGACAGCUUUUGAGUGUUGGUAAAAAGAUUUAGAUUUGUUUGGUGUAGUGACAUCGAAGAAGAUUUACAAAAGAGAACUUGAGAUUUAUAUGACAGUUUAAUCGUCACUAAAAGAUUUAGGUUUAGUUUGUUGGUGUGGUUAAUUGAAAAGCUGAUAGAAAAUUUUAA